UACAUGGGGUGCAAACGUUGCUCGGAAUUAUUGGGCGUAAAGCGCACGUAGGCGGUUCGUUAAGUCGGAUGUGAAAGCCCUCGGCUCAACUGAGGAAGUGCACCCGAAACUGGCGAGCUUGAGUACGAAAGAGGAUCGCGGAAUUCCCGGUGUAGAGGUGAAAUUCGUAGAUAUCGGGAGGAACACCGGUGGCGAAGGCGGCACUGUGGUGGCGAUACUGACGCUGAGGUGCGAAAGCGUGGGGAGCAAACAGG
rnacentral:rRNA from 1 species